CUAGAGUGCUGGGAUUAUAGGCGUGAGCCACUGUGCCUGGCCAGGAUUUGGGUAUUUCAAGUUGGCUACAUCAGUUGUCACCUAAACCCAGAGGGUUUUUUGGUUCCUGGGGUACAUCUGGAAUUUUCAAAUCUUCUUUGGCUGAAACACAGUAUAUUUGAGAGAGGACUCAGAAGAAAGAGGAAGAAAAGGCAUCAUGGGGCCAGACUGUUCCUCUGACAGUGGCAGCAGCAGGUGGAUGUAGGCUCCUAGAUUCCUUGCUUCACCAGCACAGUGAUUGCGGCCACAGCAGCACAGUGAUUGUGGACUCUGGGGCUGGAGGAGGCAGCAACAGUGGUGUGACUUUGGGCUCCUGUAACAACAGCAGGAAUGCACUCCUUCCCUGCAAGGUGAUAUGUGCAGUGAUUCCAAUGAGAAUCAUAGCAGCAGUGGAGGCUCC
rnacentral:lncRNA from 1 species